AGAGUUUGAUCCUGGCUCAGAACGAACGCUGGCGGCGUGGAUAAGACAUGCAAGUCGGACGAGAUUUUUCGCUGUAGCAAUACGGUGGAAAAUUUAGUGGCGAACGGGUGCUUAACACGUGGGCAACCUGCCGAGAAGUGGGGGAUAGCUCGCCGAAAGGCGAAUUAAUACCGCAUGUGAUUAGAGAGGACAUCCUUUCGAAAUUAAAGUCGGGGCAACCUGACGCUUUUUGUGGGGCCCGCGGCCUAUCAGCUAGUUGGUGAGGUAACAGCUCACCAAGGCUUUGACGGGUAGCUGGUCUGAGAGGACGACCAGCCACACUGGGACUGAGACACGGCCCAGACACCUACGGGUGGCAGCAGUCGAGAAUUUUUGACAAUGGGGGAAACCCUGAUCGAGCGACGCCGCGUGGAGGAUGAAGGUCUUCGGAUUGUAAACUCCUGUCAUUGGGGAACAAGGUGCAUACGUUAACUGCGUGUGCAUUGAUAGUACUCGAAGAGGAAGAGACGGCUAACUCUGUGCCAGCAGCCGCGGUAAUACAGAGGUCUCAAGCGUUGUUCGGAUUCAUUGGGCGUAAAGGGUGCGUAGGCGGCGCGGUAAGUCGGGUGUGAAAUCUCGGAGCUUAACUCCGAAACUGCAUUCGAUACUGCCGUGCUUGAGGACUGGAGAGGAGACUGGAAUUUACGGUGUAGCGGUGAAAUGCGUAGAUAUCGUAAGGAAGACCAGUGGCGAAGGCGGGUCUCUGGACAGUUCCUGACGCUGAGGCACGAAGGUCAGGGGAGCAAACGGGAUUAGAUACCCCAGUAGUCC
rnacentral:rRNA from 1 species